AUGGAGCCCCAGGAGAGUGCAGGGACCAAAGUCCUGCUGCGGAGUUUCGCACUGCGCUCCUUCCCAGGCAAGCUUAGAAGCAAAAUUAAGAGACAUCAGAGUCUGGGCUGCUGCGGGAUAUUUUGCAGAACACUGUGAAGCGUCCUCUAUGUGUGAAGCAUCCUCUGUGUGUGAAGCACCCGCCGUCAGUCAAGCAUGCCCAGCGCUUUCUCUCAGAGCUCAACAAGAUGCACGAGGCUGUCCACCCGGAGCCUCUGGACGAGCUGGACGAGGCGCUGGCGGAGAUUCUGAUGGCCAAGGAGUGCACCCAGGGCCACUGGAGCUAUCUGCUGCCCUUGGGAAACUCGGUCCCGCUCUCCGAGAGCACAGCCGUCAACUCGCACGGCACCACGGGCCUGGUCACAUGGGACGCUGCCCUCUACCUUGCAGAAUGGGCCAUCCAGAACCCGGCAGCCUUCACUCACAGGGCCGUCCUAAAGCUUGGCAGUGGUGGUGCUGGCCUCACAGGCCAGGCCAUCUGCAAGAUGGGCUGUCCCCGCGCAUACAUCUUCAGCGACUGUCACAGCCGAGUCCUCGAGCAGCUCCAAGGGAAAGUCCUUCUCAAUGGCCUCUCGUUAGAGGCAGACGUCAUUGUCAAUGGAGACAGCCCCAGGGCGACAGUGACCCAGCCGGACGGGACAGCUCUCUGCCUUCCAGCCAGACAUUGUCAUCACGGCAGGAAACGUGCUGUGUUGCCCGGAAGCCAUCGGGUCACUGGUCGGGGUCCUGCGGAGGCUGGCUGCCUGCUGCGAACACCAGGGGGCUCCUGAGGUCUACGUGGCCUUCAUCGUCGGCAACUCAGAGACGGGCCAGCUGUUCACCACCGAGCUAGGCUGGGCCGGGAUCAGCUGGAAAGCGGAACUUUCGUCACGACCAGAAACUGUUUCCCUACGAAAAGUACUUGGAGAUGGCAAUUCCGAAACUCAUACUGUAG